rnacentral:rRNA from 1 species
UACAGAGGUCUCAAGCGUUGUUCGGAUUCAUUGGGCGUAAAGGGUGCGUAGGCGGCGCGGUAAGUCGGGUGUGAAAUCUUGGAUCUUAACUCCGAAACUGCAUUCGAUACUGCCGUGCUUGAGGACUGGAGAGGAGACUGGAAUUUACGGUGUAGCGGUGAAAUGCGUAGAUAUCGUAAGGAAGACCAGUGGCGAAGGCGGGUCUCUGGACAGUUCCUGACGCUGAGGCACGAAGGCCAGGGGAGCAAACGGG